rnacentral:rRNA from 1 species
GUGAGGAAUAUUGGUCAAUGGACGGAAGUCUGAACCAGCCAUGCCGCGUGCAGGAAUAAGGUCCUAUGGAUUGUAAACUGCUUUUAUUCGGGAAUAAACCUCUUUACGUGUAGGGAGCUGAAGGUACCGAAGGAAUAAGCACCGGCUAACUCCGUGCCAGCAGCCGCGGUAAUACGGAGGGUGCAAGCGUUAUCCGGAAUCAUUGGGUCUAAAGGGUCCGCAGGCGGGCUAUCAAGUCAGAGGUGAAAUCCCACAGCUUAACUGUGGAACUGCCUUUGAAACUGAUGGUCUUGAAUUAAGUGGGCGUUGGCGGAAUAUGACAUGUAGCGGUGAAAUGCAUAGAUAUGUCAUGGAACACCGAAAGCGAAGGCAGCUAACGAUACUUAUAUUGACGCUCAUGGACGAAAGCGUGGGUAGCGAACAGGAUUAGAUACCCGGGUAGUCC